rnacentral:rRNA from 1 species
UACGGAGGAUCCAAGCGUUAUCCGGAAUCAUUGGGUUUAAAGGGUCUGUAAGGCGGUUUAGUAAGUCAGUGGUGAAAGCCCAUCGCUCAAACGGUGGAACGGCCAUUGAUACUGCUAGACUUGAAUUAUUAGGAAGUUAACUAGAAUAUGUAGUGUAGCGGUUGAAAUGCUUAGAGAUUACAUGGAAUACCAAUUGCGAAGGCAGGUUACUACUAAUGGAUUGACGCUGAUGGACGAAAGCGUGGGUAGCGAACAG